UGCCUCAGUAACGGCGAGUGAAGCGGCAAGAGCUCAAAUUUGAAAUCUGGCCCCUUUGGGGUCCGAGUUGUAAUUUGCAGAGGAUGCUUCGGGUGCGGUCCCCGUCUAAGUGCCCUGGAACGGGCCGUCAUAGAGGGUGAGAAUCCCGUCUGGGAUGGGCGGCCGUGCCCGUGUGAAGCUCCUUCGACGAGUCGAGUUGUUUGGGAAUGCAGCUCUAAGUGGGUGGUAAAUUUCAUCUAAAGCUAAAUACUGGCCGGAGACCGAUAGCGCACAAGUAGAGUGAUCGAAAGAUGAAAAGCACUUUGAAAAGAGAGUUAAACAGCACGUGAAAUUGUUGAAAGGGAAGCGUUGUCCACCAGACUCGCCCGGGGGGGCUCAGCCGGCACGUGUGCCGGUGUACUCCUCUCCGGGCGGGCCAGCAUCGGUUUGGGCGGCUGGUGAAAGGCCCCGGGAAUGUAACACCCUCCGGGGUGCCUUAUAGCCCGGGGUGCCAUGCGGCCAGCCUGGACCGAGGCCCGCGCUUCGGCGAGGAUGCUGGCGUAAUGGUGGUCAACGGCCCGUCUUGAAACACGGACCAAGGAGUCUAACAUCUAUGCGAGUGUUCGGGUGUCAAACCCGUCCGCGCAGUGAAAGCGAACGGAGGUGGGAGCCUUUCGGGGCGCACCAUCGACCGAUCCUGAUGUCUUCGGAUGGAUUUGAGUAAGAGCAUAGCUGUUGGGACCCGAAAGAUGGUGAACUAUGCCUGAAUAGGGCGAAGCCAGAGGAAACUCUGGUGGAGGCUCGCAGCGGUUCUGACGUGCAAAUCGAUCGUCAAAUUUGGGUAUAGGGGCGAAAGACUAAUCGA
rnacentral:sRNA from 1 species